CCUACGGGAGGCUGCAGUAGGGAAUAUUGCGCAAUGGGGGAAACCCUGAAGCAGCAACGCCGCGUGGAGGAUGAAGGUUUUCGGAUCGUAAACUCCUUUUGUGAGAGAAGAUAAUGACGGUAUCUAACGAAUAAGCACCGGCUAACUCCGGGCCAGCAGCCGCGGUAAUACGGAGGGUGCAAGCGUUACUCGGAAUCACUGGGCGUAAAGAGUGCGGAGGUGGGUUGGUAAGUCAGAGGUGAAAUCCUGUAGCUUAACUACAGAACUGCAUUUGAAACUAUGAGUCUAGAGUGUGUGAGAGGUAGGUGGAAUUCUUGGUGUAGGGGUAAAAUCCGUAGAUAUCAAGAGGAAUACUCAUUGCGAAGGCGACCUUCUGGAACAUAACUGACGCUGAUGCGCGAAAGCGUGGGGAGCAAACAGGAUUAGAUACCCCUGUAGUC
rnacentral:rRNA from 1 species